rnacentral:rRNA from 1 species
CCUACGGGAGGCAGCAGUGGGGAAUAUUGCACAAUGGGGGGAACUCUGAUGCAGCAACGCCGCGUGGGUGAAGAAGUACUCCGGUAUGUAAAGCCCUGUCAGCAGGGAAGAAAAUGACGGUACCUGACCAAGAAGCCCCGGCUAACUACGUGCCAGCAGCCGCGGUAAUACGUAGGGGGCAAGCGUUAUCCGGAUUUACUGGGUGUAAAGGGAGCGUAGACGGCAAGGCAAGUCUGGAGUGAAAGCCCGGGGCCCAACCACGGGACUGCUUUGGAAACUGUGUUGCUGGAGUGCAGGAGGGGUAAGAGGAAUUCCUAGUGUAGCGGUGAAAUGCGUAGAUAUUAGGAGGAACACCGGUGGCGAAGGCGGCUUACUGGACUGUAACUGACGUUGAGGCUCGAAGGCGUGGGGAGCAAACAGGAUUAGAUACCCCUGUAGUC